rnacentral:rRNA from 1 species
UGCCUACGGGGCGCAGCAGUGAGGAAUAUUGGUCAAUGGGCUUACGCCUGAACCAGCCAAGUCGCGUGAGGGAAGACUGCCCUAUGGGUUGUAAACCUCUUUUGUCAGGGAGCAACGCCGGCUACGUGUAGCCGGACUGAGAGUACCUGAAGAAAAAGCAUCGGCUAACUCCGUGCCAGCAGCCGCGGUAAUACGGAGGAUGCGAGCGUUAUCCGGAUUUAUUGGGUUUAAAGGGAGCGCAGACGGCAGUGCAAGUCUGGAGUGAAAGCCCGGGGCCAACCCCGGAACUGCUCUGGAAAC